AACGAACGCUGGCGGCGUGCCUAACACAUGCAAGUCGAGCGCGAAAAGGGCAACCUGAGUAGAGCGGCGCACGGGUGCGUAACACGUGGGUAAUCUGCCUUAGAGUCGAGGAUAACCUUCCGAAAGGUUGGCUAAUACUCGGUAAGCUUACGGUGUCUUCGGACGCUGUGGGAAAAGUAGGCCUCUGUUUACAAGCUUACGCUCUGAGCUGAGCCCGCGGCCCAUCAGCUAGUUGGCGGAGUAACGGACCACCAAGGCAACGACGGGUAGCUGGUCUGAGAGGACGAUCAGCCACACUGGAACUGAGACACGGUCCAGACUCCUACGGGAGGCAGCAGUGGGGAAUUUUCCACAAUGGGCGAAAGCCUGAUGGAGCAACGCCGCGUGUGCGAUGAAGGUUUUCGGAUCGUAAAGCACUUUCGACCGGGACGAAAAACCUCUGGCUAACAUCCAGGGGCCUGACGGUACCGGGAGAAGAAGCACCGGCUAACUCUGUGCCAGCCGCCGCAGUAA
rnacentral:rRNA from 1 species